rnacentral:snRNA from 1 species
CUUUUUGUGCUUGGGGCAAUGACACAACUAGUGAGGUACUAAUCGCAUCUAUUGCUGGUUGAAAACUAUUUCCAAACCCCCUCUUUGGCUUGGGUUCAAGCCCUGGCCAUUGAGAGAAUUUUUGGGAGGGCCCUAUGAGGU